GAUCCCAUCCCGAACUCGGAAGUGAAACGCAGCUGCGCCGAUGGUAGUGUGAGCUUUCAUGCAAGAGUAGGUCACCGCCAGGG
rnacentral:rRNA from 1 species